GCCGAGCCUGCAGCACAGAGCUGAUAAAGCCGGGAAGAGAACGCCAUCAACUCCCCUUAUUAUGCAGUUUCAGAAAGCAGCUUAAUCCAACCUCAGAUCACUGGGUGGUAAGGCCUAUCCCAACAGCAUCAGACACAUGACAGGAGCCAAUGAAAACCUGCAGUACAACUGAGCAGAUCUGACACCUUACUGCCUUUGUCUGAAGAGGAGGACUCCCUCUGCCUUCGAGGCUGACUGCAUUUGCUUUGGUUCAGCACCUCCUCCUGAUCAGAGCACCAUGAUGUCCCACCAUUGAUGGAUUGAAGGCCAGAAGUCCACAUGAC